UGCCAGCCGCCGCGGUAAUACGGAGGGGGUUAGCGUUGUUCGGAAUUACUGGGCGUAAAGCGCACGUAGGCGGAUUAGUAAGUUAGGGGUGAAAUCCCGGGGCUCAACCCCGGAACUGCCUUCGAUACUGGUAGUCUUGAGGUCGAGAGAGGUGAGUGGAAUUCCUAGUGUAGAGGUGAAAUUCGUAGAUAUUAGGAGGAACACCAGAGGCGAAGGCGGCUUUCUGGUCCGUUACUGACGCUGAGGCGCGAAAGCGUGGGGAGCAAACAGGAUUAGAUA
rnacentral:rRNA from 1 species